GUUAUUUAAACAUUAUCUAAUAUAAAUAAUAUAAAAUGGCAAGUGAUAAAUUGAUUACAUCAAUUUUCCCAUUAUUAAAGUGGCUUGAGUUGAGUCAGUAUGUUGGCAGCAGCCACUCAAUGUUAGUGAUGGCUGUUUAACAGUCUGAUGGCCUUGAGAUAGCUGUUUUUCAGUCUCUCGGUCCCAGCUUUGAUGCACCUGUACUGACCUCGCCUUCUGGAAGGUAGCGGGGUGAACAGGCGGUGGCUCGGGUGGUUGCUGUCCUUGAUGAUCUUUUUGGCCUUCCUGUGACAUCGGGUGGUGUAGAUGUCCUGGAGGGCACCGGUUUUGACUAGCAGAAGUUGCUUUUCUUAGCAGGUUACGAGAAUUAACGCAGCAGGUUAGGAUAAUUAGGUAAAGAUUAGCUAAAAUGCUAACAAUGUCCUCGACGCGACUCGAACCUAUCUACAACCAGGCCUGCCUUGAGAACAGACUUGAUUUACACUAAUGCGAUGCUCUGCGUCAAAUGGUCUGUGAGGGAAGACUCUUGAGAACAUAAGCUUUCUGUUCUACUCGAGCUAUUUUAUUUUGUAUUUUCAUGGACAAGUCUAAAUAUUUUUGAGCAGCUGCUAGAUGAACAUGGUACCUUCAGGCGUUUGGAAAUUGCUCCCAAGGAUGAACCAGACUUGUGGAGGUCUAAAUUCUUUUCUUCUGAGGUCUUGGCUGAUUUCUUUUGAUUUUCCCAUGAUGUCAAGCAAAGACGAACUGGGUUUGAAGGAAAUAUUCUAUUGGGUUCCUCAAAAUGGAUGGUGUCGAUCGAGAGGAGAGUGGUCUGUGUUUUGGACAGUAAGUCCAACUUUGCUGCUGCCCUCUCUGUGCUCUUCAGCACUUUCUAUGUUUUUAACAUAGAAUAACAGGAGUUGGCCUCUGCAACCUUGGAGCUGAUAGAGGUUCCUGGUUUGAAUAAACCCUUAAGGAACCAAAUGCACAGCGAAAGCAGGAGUGAGCCGCAAGACCGGAAAGGUCGUUCAGAGGAAGUCAUUGCCAAUUGACCAAGAUGUUACACGCUUUCUCGCAGACCUGAAGGAGUUUGAUAGGAAAAACUCCAACAUUUGAUGUAUCAGAGCUAAGGAGGAUCAGAGUUUCAAAAAUGGGGGUGAUAACCUGCACGCCACCGAGAUUUAUUCGAGACUUGUUUGCAUCUCUCAUUCUCUCAGAAAUCCUGCCAUGUGGGUUGGGUCAGCAAAUGAUCUGUUUGCUCCAUCCCGGAGCCUGUGUUGUCUUGAGGUAGCAUGCUUCUCUGGCUCCAGUCUAGCCCUGCUCUCUCCUCUCUAUCCACUUUUCUCUCAGCCCCUUUCUCUCUCGAUCUCUCUCUCUCUCUCGUUUCUCUCUCAACGACAGCCAGGCAAGCAGUUCUUGUUAUUGUUUUUUGUAAAAAUGUCUCCCUGUUCAACUGUUGUUUCCCUAUUUUUCAUUGAUCUGUUUAGAGAUUUUUUAAAUCUUACAUAAUCCUGUAUUUUUAAGAAUGACCUAUUCUGAUGUUUUGGUUUGUGUAUGGUGAAGUACAUUACUGACCAUUAUUUGUCAAUGUUCUUAUCAUUGUAUCUCUUUCUCUCUCUCUCCCCUACUAUCUGGAGUUGUAAUGUUGCUCUUUUCAAAUGUUGUUCUUUGUGGUUAAAGUGCAUUUCAAGUGAAAUUCUUGUUAUGAAUUUGAAUAAAUAUAUAUAUUUGUACA
rnacentral:lncRNA from 1 species